GACGAGGUGGCCGAGUGGUUAAGGCGGUGGACUGCUAAUCAAAUGGGCUCUGCCCGCGUGGGUUCGAAUCCCAUCCUCGUCG